rnacentral:lncRNA from 1 species
UUUGCAUUAAAUUGUAAUUGGAUUUGCAUGGCUGCAUAUCUUUUUUCAGGUUGUUAUGUGGCUUGCAAGAGGAAAAGUAUGCAAUGCAGAUGGAAGAGCAAAUUCAAAUGCCCUGAGGCAGCAGGGUGCCUGUAGUUGUGACAACAGCAAGGGACCAGUGGAGUUGGAGAGAAAGGAGCAAACAAGAGUGUCAUGUCUAAGGGGAAUAUGGUGUUUACAUGGAUUGCAGGCCUUCUUUGGUCAAAAAUUGUUGGAAUUAGGUAACUUAAUUUUACAAAAUUGUGAGCUAGAAAGAUAUUAGGUUGGUGUAAAAGUAAUUGUGGUUUUCGCCAUUCAAAGUAAUGGUAAAGACCACAAUAACUUUCGCACCAACGUAAUAAAAGAUUAUAUUUGAAAACAAGCUUCUAACAAUGAUAAUAGUUGCUGGUAAUGGCAAAUUCUAGCACAUGAUAAACAGCAGACAUAAAGUGGAGAAGACUAUUGGAGGAAAGGAUUUCAAUGUACAAAGAUUGUGUUAGGGCCUGGCUCGGUGGCUCAUGCCUAUAAUCCCAGCAGUUGGGAGGCUGAGGCAGGCAGAUCACUUGAGGUCAGGAGUUCGAGACCAGCAUGGCCAACAUGGGGAAAGCUUGUUUCUACUAAAAAUACAAAAAUUAGCCAGUCGUGGUGGUGCACGCCUGUAAUCCCAGCUACUUGGAUAGCUGAGGCAGGAGAAUCACUUGAACCUGGGAGGUGGAGGUUGCAGUGAGCCGAGAUCAUGCCACCGCACUCCAGCCUGGGUGACAGAGAAAGACUGUUUCAAAAAAAAAAAAAAAAAGAAAAGAAAAGAAAAAAAAAGGAAAAUUAGAAGACUCUCUUCUUUCAGAGACCUAGAAAGUCUUGUUUGAGAGAAUAGUGGUUGGUAUAGUAAAAAGUUAAUCAGGUAAGGGAGAGGGACCCAGAUCCUGUAGAUGACUGUAUCAGGGAGUCCUGCAUGGUACAGUCUUGGGUCUAGACUGGCUGUGAGGAGCAAGGAGCAAGGAGCAAGCCUUUUUACUUUGAGCCUCUCACUUCUAGUGGCAUGAGAAGAAGAAAGAAACUUGAAAGGCUACUUGUGAAGUAGUAUGCUUAGGGAGAGCUAAGUUUGUUUAGAACAAGAAACCAAAUAAAAUACUCACAAAUGAUGGUUUGGGUACAAGGUGUUAGAAGAUAAGGAAAACAAUUAAAAAUAAAUGAUGGUUUGGGGAAUUUUGCUCAUGAGUGACUCUGAGUCAAUGAAAGAUGCUGAAAAGGCAGAGCUCUGUGGUGAUAAAAGUCAGGUAACAGGGAUGACCUGGGAGUCUUAGGGUUCUUGUGAUAUAAGCAGGUUUGAAUCACGUAUCUGAGGUUGGACUGGUGACCCCUAGGCAGCCAGUGGUGCUGAGGUUGUCAGUGCUGUGAGAGGGAAAUGGGAGGGCCCAGGUCUUUCCAGGGAAGGCAAGCAUUCUGGGAUGUCAAUGAUACUGUGCAGGGCCAAUGGUACUGUGCAGGCUGAGGGAGGGGCCAUCAUCUAGAGUAAUAGAUAUUUAAAG